AGGACGAACGCUGGCGGCGUGCCUAACACAUGCAAGUCGAACGGGACCCGCAAGGGUUCAGUGGCGGACGGGUGCGUAACACGUGAGGAACAUGUCCUUCGGCGGGGAAUAGCCGGCCUAACGGCCGGGUAAUUCCGCGUACGACGGUUGGGGCGCAUGCCUCGGCCGUGAAAGCAGCAAUGCGCCGAUGGAGUGCCUCGCGGCCUAUCAGCUAGUUGGUGAGGUAAUGGCUCACCAAGGCGACGACGGGUAGCUGGUCUGAGAGGAUGAUCAGCCACAUUGGGACUGAGACACGGCCCAGACUCCUACGGGAGGCAGCAGUGGGAAUAUUGCGCAAGUGGGCGAAAGCCUGACGCAGCGACGCCGCGUGUGGGAUGGAAGGUCUUCGGAUUAGUAAACCACUGUCGGGAGGACGAAUGCGCCGCGAAGGCGAAGUGACGGUACCUACCGAAAGGAACGACACCGGACUAACGUCGUAGUCGACCGAGCCAACGGCCCGCGGUUAAACGUCCGUA
rnacentral:rRNA from 1 species